GGAGGUGUAGCUCAGCAGUAGCGUGCCUGCCUGGCAAGCGUGAGGCCUGGGUUCCAAUCCUAGUACUGCCA
rnacentral:tRNA from 1 species